rnacentral:misc_RNA from 1 species
GAAAUGCGAUACGUAAUGUGAAUUGCAGAAUUCGUGAAUCAUCGAAACUUUGAACGCAAAUUGCGCCUCCUGGUACUCCGGGAGGCAUGCCUGUUCGAGCGUCAUCUAAACCCUCAAGCCCUGCUUGGUGUUGGGUGCCUGUCCCGCCCCCGUGCGUGGACUCACCUCAAAUCCAUUGGCGGCCCUCGUGCCGGCCCCGAGCGCAGCAGAAACGCGGUCUCGUGGGCCGGCGGAGCGUGCCCCCAGAAGCAACAUUCACCGUUUUGACCUCGGAUCAGGUAGGGAUACCCGCUGAACUUAA